rnacentral:misc_RNA from 1 species
GAUGAAGAACGCAGUGAAAUGCGAUAAGUAAUGUGAAUUGCAGAAUCUUGUGAAUCAUCGAAUCUUUGAACGCACAUUGCGCCCCCUGGUAUUCCGGGGGGCAUGCCUGUCCGAGCGUCAUUGCUGCCCUCAAGCACGGCUUGUGUGUUGGGCCUCCGUCCUCCUCCCGGGGGACGGGCCCGAAAGGCAGCGGCGGCACCGCGUCCGGUCCUCGAGCGUAUGGGGCUUCGUCACCCGCUCUUGUAGGCCCGGCCGGCGCUUGCCGACACAUCAAUCUUUUUUCCAGGUUGACCUCGGAUCAGGUAGGGAUACCCGCUGAACUUAAGCAUAUCAAUAAGCGGAGGA